rnacentral:rRNA from 1 species
AACGAACGCUGGCGGCAGGCCUAACACAUGCAAGUCGAACGCCGUAGCAAUACGGAGUGGCAGACGGGUGAGUAACGCGUGGGAACAUACCCCUCGGUUCGGAAUAACUUAGGGAAACUUGAGCUAAUACCGGAUACGUCCGAGGUUUUAACCGGCCUCGGAGAAAGAUUUAUCGCCGGAGGAUUGGCCCGCGUCUGAUUUAGCUUGUUGGUGAGGUAAUGGCUCACCAAGGCGACGAUCAGAGCUGGUCUGAGAGGAUGAUCAGCCACAUUGGGACUGAGACACGGCCCAAACUCCUACGGGAGGCAGCAGUGGGGAAUAUUGGACAAUGGCGAAAGCCUGAUCCAGCCAUGCCGCGUGAGUGAUGAAGGCCUUAGGGUU